GCCUACGGGGGGCAGCAGUAGGGAAUCUUCCACAAUGGGCGCAAGCCUGAUGGAGCAACACCGCGUGAGUGAAGAAGGGUUUCGGCUCGUAAAGCUCUGUUGUUGGAGAAGAACGUGCGUGAGAGUAACUGUUCGCGCAGUGACGGUAUCCAACCAGAAAGUCACGGCUAACUACGUGCCAGCAGCCGCGGUAAUACGUAGGUGGCAAGCGUUAUCCGGAUUUAUUGGGCGUAAAGCGAGCGCAGGCGGGUGCUUAGGGCUGAUGUGAAAGCCUUUGGCUUUACCGAAGAAGUG
rnacentral:rRNA from 1 species